rnacentral:rRNA from 1 species
UUGGGAAUCUUGGACAAUGGGGGAAACCCUGAUCCAGCCAUGCCGCGUGAGUGAUGAAGGCCUUCGGGUUGUAAAGCUCUUUUACCCGGGAAGAUAAUGACUGUACCGGGAGAAUAAGCUCCGGCUAACUUCGUGCCAGCAGCCGCGGUAAUACGAAGGGGGCUAGCGUUGUUCGGAAUUACUGGGCGUAAAGCGCGCGCAGGUGGUUUCUCAAGUCAGUGGUGAAAGCCCGGAGCUCAACUCCGGAACUGCCAUUGAAACUGUGGAACUCGAGGACGAGAGAGGUGAGUGGAAUUCCCAGUGUAGAGGUGAAAUUCGUAGAUAUUGGGAAGAACACCGGUGGCGAAGGCGGCUCACUGGCUCGUAUCUGACACUCAAGCGCGACAGCGUGGGGAUCAAACAGGAUUAGAUACCCCCGUAGUCC